AUUGAACGCUGGCGGCAGGCCUAACACAUGCAAGUCGAACGAGGGGCGGACGGGUGAGUAAUGUCGGGGAAACUGCCUGAUGGAGGGGGAUAACUCCUGGAAACGGUAGCUAAUACCGCAUACCAUCCGAUGUUCCCAGAUGGGAUUAGCUAGUAGGUGGGGUAAAGGCGCACAUAGGCGACGAUCCCUAGCUGGUCUGAGAGGAUGACCAGCCACACUGGAACUGAGACACGGUCCAGACUCCUACGGGAGGCAGCAGUGGGGAAUAUUGCACAAUGGGCGAAAGCCUGAUGCAGCCAUGCCGCGUGUAUGAAGAAGGCCUUCGGGUUGUAAAGUACUUUCAGCGGGGAGGCGUUACCCGAAGAAGAAGCCCCGGCUAACUCCGUGCCAGCAGCCGCGGUAAUAC
rnacentral:rRNA from 1 species